AUUCACGGAGAGUUAGAUCCUGGCUCAGGACGAACGCUGGCGGCGUGCCUAAUACAUGCAAGUCGAGCGAAGCAAAUUAGUGGAGCUCUUCGGAGUGAAGCUAAUUUGACUGAGCGGCGAACGGGUGAGUAACGCGUGGGCAACCUGCCCCAAAGACCGGGAUAACAGCGGGAAACUGCUGCUAAUACCGGAUGUGUUACCAAAGCCGCAUGGUUUUGGUAACAAAGGCG
rnacentral:rRNA from 1 species